UUGAUUAUUUAUCUGCUUUCAUAUUUUACAGAUUUACCCAGACCUACACUGACUGUGACACCAGACAGUCCUGUAUUCACUGGAGAGACAGUCAAUCUGACGUGUGUGAUAAACUCUAAUCACAGUGACUGGAGAUAUGAGUGGUAUAAAGGUACAAACAACAGUGUAAAGUUACAGACUUCUGAGCGUUACACUGUAAACACAGACACUCUCACUAUCAGCGGAGUGAAUGAGUCUGAUCAGGAUCAGUUCUGGUGUAGAGGACAGAGAGACGAAAGACCAAAAUCAUCACAGGAGAGUGAACGAAUAAAUCUGUCUGUUAAUGUCUCAGCAGCUUCAUCUUCUCUUCUGGUCACUGGUGUGGUUGUGGGAUUGAGUGUUUGUCUGUUGUUCUUCCUCUCACUGCUGCUGAUGUGGAGAUACAAGAAGAACAAAGAUCAGCAGCGUCACAUUAACCAGACAUCAGUCCCAAAUCAAUCUGCACAAUCUCAACCGGAAAACUCUCCACUUCAAUCUGGUCAGCCUCAAUAACUAAUUAUUUAAAGGCAUACUUAACACACAAAAAAAUGAAUUAAUAACCUAAACCUAUAUCUGUGGAACAAACACACACACAAAGAUGUAUGGUUAUUUUUUUUUCCCCCAUACAAUGAAAGUCAAUGGGGUCCAAUGUUUUUAUAAGCAAACUUGUUUAACACAGCUCUAGGUGAAACUGCUCUAAAUUUAUUGCUACAUUAUAUAAUCACUAUGCAUCACCAAUAGAAUAAAAUAGUUUGUCUGAUAGAUCUUUAACA
ensembl:lncRNA